GACGAACGCUGGCGGCGUGCCUAAUACAUGCAAGUUGAGCGAUGAAGAUUGGUGCUUGCACCAAUUUGAAGAGCAGCGAACGGGUGAGUAACGCGUGGGGAAUCUGCCUUUGAGCGGGGGACAACAUUUGGAAACGAAUGCUAAUACCGCAUAAUAACUUUAAACAUAAGUUUUAAGUUUGAAAGAUGCAAUUGCAUCACUCAAAGAUGAUCCCGCGUUGUAUUAGCUAGUUGGUGAGGUAAAGGCUCACCAAGGCGAUGAUACAUAGCCGACCUGAGAGGGUGAUCGGCCACAUUGGGAAUGAGACACGGCCCAAACUCCUACGGGAGGCAGCAGUAGGGAAGCUUCGGCAAUGGACGAAAGUCUGAACGAGCAACGCCGCGUGAGUGAAGAAGGGUUUCGGAUCGUAAAACUCUGUUGGUAGAGAAGAAAGUUGGUGAGAGUGGAAAGCUCAUCAAGUGACGGUAACUACCCAGAAAGGGACGGCUAACUACGUG
rnacentral:rRNA from 1 species